AGAGAGAGAGAGAAGGGUAAGGUUCACAGAGAAGAGAGAGGAAAAUAAAUGAGAAAAAGGGUAGCUUUGACAAAUCAGGUUAUGUACUAUCUUAGAACUCAAAACUCAUCAACUCAUGAAAGACACUCGCAUGAAUACUACAUACCAAAUAAACAAUUCAGAAGAAACUCAACCAAAAAAGGAAGAAUCAGAAAAGUUUUUCCAAACCUAUUAAAUGUCUCAUCAAAACAACAAUUUUAGUACUCCAAGCGAUCUUCCGAAACUACUUCUCAAAGUAUGUACAUUUUGAUCUAAUCAACGACAACAACAAGGACCUAGAACCUCCGAGUCAACUAUCCAUUACCAAACUCUUAUGCAAUUAACUUGAUCAUAAUCCUAAGUUGCACAUCAAUCACUUCAUCACAACAAUUGCUAAUUUUACUGAAACUAGCGUAAGAAACAAAGCCUAGGAAACCCAAAAUCAGGUAAACAAUAGUAUGCAAUUUAUGCAUUAUAUAAAGAAAACAUAGCAAAUCAAUCGAAUUAACAUAUUGUGUACACACAAAUAAAUCCAUGUAAUUAUUAUGCAUUUCAAAUAAACACACGUAUUGACAGAAAGGAAAUCAUAAGAGUCAUAACGAUCAAUAGUUCAAUCCACAUAGAACAUAAGACUUAAACUCCGGAAAUUUUUAUCUAUCCAAAUAUAGACAUUCUUCCUUCCACAAUUCCCUCAUAUUAAUCACAUGCGCAAAAUAAUCUCCAUCCUCGAAAAUAUCUCAAAAACUUAUGUACGUAUAGCUAUAUAUUAACUACCAAAGUAAACUUGACAAUUGUAAAUCUCUCAACUCAGCCAAAUGAGUAAAGUCGAACGUAUCGCACGAAAAUGCAUUUCAUCUUCUCAUACCGCACCAGAUUCUAGAACCUCAAACUAUCCUCAAUACACACAAGCCUACUCCUCAAACUUCCUACUAAUGACCAAAAAUAAAGCAUGCUUACCAAAAAAAUCAGGUAACAUGUUCAUAGGAGAACCGAAUUUAACUCCAAAUAACCUUGCACCAAGCCUGCUAUAAAAGUUUUUCCAAACCUAUUAAAUGUCUCUUCAAAACAACAAUUCUCCAUACCUAGAUUAGUACGCCAAGCGAUCUGCCGAUACUACUUCUCAAAGUAUGUGCAUUUUAAUGAUAAUCUUCCAUAAACCAUCUUAAGAAACAAAGCCUAAUAAAGCCUAACUCAUGUAAACAAUAGUAUGUAAUUUAUGCUUUUUAUAAAGAACACAGCAAAUCAAUCGAAGUAAUAUAUUGUAUACACACAAAUAAAUCCAUCUAAUUAAAAUGCUUUAUAAAUAAACACAUGUAUUGAAAUAAAGGAAAUCAUAAGAUUCAUAACGAUCAAUAGUUCAAUCGACAUAGAAAAUAAGCCUUGAGCUCCGGAUAUUUUUAUCUACCCAAGUACAGACUUUCUUCCUUCCACAAUUCCCUCAGAUGAAUCACAUGCUCAGAAUAAUCUCCAUCCUCGAAAAUAUCUCAAAAACUUCUGUACCUAUAGUUAUAUAUUACCUACCAAAGUAAACUUGACAAUUGUAAAUCUCUCAAAUCAGCCAAAUAAUUAAUGUCGAACAUAUCGCACGAAAAUGCAUUUCAUCUUCGCAUACUGCACCAGAUUCUAGAACCUCAAACUAUCCUCAAUACGCCCAAGCCUACUCCUCAAACUUCAUACAAUUAACCAAAAUUAAAACCUGCUUACAACAAAAUCUGGUAACAUGUUCCUAGGAGAUCUAAUUUAACUCAUAAUAACCUUGCACCGGGCCUGCUAUAAAAGUUUAUCCCCUCUUCAAAACAACAAUUCUCCAUACCUAAUUUAGUACUCCAAGCGAUCUGCCGAAACCACUUGUCAAAGUAUGUACAUUUUGAUCUAUUCGACAACAACAACAAUGACCAAGAACUUCCGAGCCUACUUUCCAUGACCUACUUGAUCAUAGACCUAAGUUGCACAACAAUCACUUCAUCACCAGAGACCAAUUAAUAAUCUUACAGAAACCAUAUUAAGAAACAAAACCUAGUAAAGCCUAACUCAUGUAAACAAUAGUAUAUGAUUUAUGUUUUUUAUAAAGAUCACGUAGCAAAUCAAUCGAAUUAAUAAAUUGUAGACACAAAUAAAUCCAUGUAAUUAAUAUCAUUUCAAAUAAACACAUAUAUUGACAUAAAGGAAAUCAUAACAUUCAUAACGAUGAAUAAUUCAAUCGAAAUAGAACAUAAGACUAAGCUCCUCAAAUUUUGAUGUAUCCAAGUACAGACUUUCUUCCUUCCACAAUUCCCUCUUAUGAAUCACUUGCUCAAAAUAAUCUCAAUCCUCGAAAAUAUCUCAAAAACUUGUGUACCUGUAGCUAUAUAUUACACACCAAGGAAAACUUGAAAAUUGUAAAUCUCGCAACCCAGCAAAAUGAUUAAUGUCGAACAUAAUACACGAAAAUGCAUUUCAACAUCACAUACUGCACCAGAUUCUAGAACCUCAAACCAUCCUCAAUACGCCCAAGCCUACUCUUCAAACUUCCUACUAUUGACCAAAAAUAAAGCCUGCUUACCACAAAAUCCGGUAACAUGAUCCUAGGAGAACCUAAUUUAACUCCUAAUAACGUUGCACCUGGCCUGCUAUAAAAGUUUCUCCAAACCUAUUAAAUGUCUCUUUAAAACAAUAAUUCUCCAAACCAUGUUUAGUACUCCGAGCGAUCUGCCGAAACUACUUCUCAAAGUAUGUACAAUUUGAUCUAAUCAACCACAACAACAAUGACCUAGAACCUCCGAGUCUACUUUCCAAGUACAGACUUUCUUCCUUCCACAAUUCCCUCCAAUGAAUUACUUGCUCAAAAUAAUCUCAAUCAUCGAAAAUAUCUAAAAAACCCCUGUACCUAUAGUUAUACAUUACUUACCAAAGAAAACUUGAAAAUUGUAAUCCCAACCCAGUGAAAUGAUUAAUGUCGAACAUAAUGCAGGAAAAUGCAUUUUAUCCUAUCAUACUGCACCAGAUUCUAGAACCCAAACUCCUCAAUACGCCCAAGCCUACUCCUCAGACUUACUACUAUUGUUCCCAAGUAUUUACCAAAAUAAAGCCUAUUUACCACAAAAUCGGGUAACAUAUUCCUAGGAGAACCUAAUUUAACUCCUAAUAACCUUCCACUCCAAAACUAUUAAAUCGCUCUUCAUAAUAACAAUUUUCCAUACCUAGUUUAGUACUCCAAGCGAUUUGCCGAAACUACCUCACAGAGUAUGUACAUUUUGAUCUAAUCAACGACAACAACAAUGACCCAGAACCUCCGAGUCUACUUUCCAUGUACAGACUUUCUUCCUUCCACAAUUCCCUCCAAUGAAUCACUUGAUCAAAAUAAUCUGAAUCCUCCAAAAUAUCUCAAAAACCUCUGUACCUAUAGUUCUAUGUUACCUACCAAAGAAAACUUGAAAAUUGUAAUCCCAACUCAGUGAAAUGAUUAAUGUCGAACAUAAUGCACAAAAAUGCAUUUCAUCUUCUCAUACUGCCCCAGAUUCAAAAACGUCAAACUAUCCACAAUAUGGCCAAGCCUACUCCUCAAACUUCCUACUAUUGUUCCCAAGUAUUUACCAAAAAUAAAGCCUGCUUAAAAAAAAAUCUGGUAACAUGUUCCUAGGAGAACCUAAUUUAACUCCUAAUACCUUUGCACCUGGCAUGUUAUAAAAGUUUCACCAAACCAAUUAAUUGUCUCUUCAAAACAACAAUUCUCCAUACAUAGUUUAGUACUCCAAGCGAUCUGCCGAAACUAGUUCUCAAAGUAUGUACAUUUUGAUCUAUUCAACAACAUCAACAAUGACCUAGAACCACCGAGUCUACUUUCCAUUACCAAAAUCUUAUGCAAUUAACUUGAUCAUAAUACUAAUUUGCACAUCAAUCAAUUCAUCACCAGAGAACAAUUGUUAAUCUUACAGAAACUAUCUUAAGAAACAAAGCAUAGGAAAGCCAAACUCAUGUAAACAAUAGUAUGUAAUUUAUGCUUUAUACAAAGAUCACAUAGCAAAUCAAUCCAAUUAAUAUAUUGUAUACACACAAAUAAAUCCAAGUAAUUAAUAUUCAUUUCAAAUAAACACAUGUAUUGACAGAAAAGAAAUCAUGAGUCAUAACCAUCAAUAGUUCAAACGACAUAGAACAUAUGACUAAGCACCUCAAAUUUUGAUCUAUCCAAGUACAGACUUUCUUCCUUCCACAAUUCCCUCUUAUGAAUCACUUUCUCAAAAUAAUCUCAAUCCUCGAAAAUAUCUCAAAUACUUUUGUCCCUGUAGCUAUAUAUAUUACACACCAAGGAAAACUUGAAAAUUGUAAAUCUCUCAACCCAGCCAAAUGAUUAAUGUCGAACAUAAUGCACGAAAAUGCAUUUCAACUUCAAAUACUGCACCAGAUUCUAGAACCUCAAGCUAUCCUAAAUACGCCCAAGCCUACUCUUCAAACUUCCUACUAUUGACCAAAAAUAAAGCCUGCUUACCACAAAAUCUGGUAACAUGUUCCUAGGAGAACCUAAUUUAACUCCUAAUAACGUUGCGCCUGGCCUGCUAUAAAAGUUUCUCCAACCCUAUUAAAUGUCACUUUAAAACAACAAUUCUUCAUACCAAGUUUCGUACUCCAAGCGAUCUGCCGAAACUACUUCUCAAAGUAUGUACAUUUUGAUCUAAUCAACGACAACAACAAUGACCAAGAAC
rnacentral:lncRNA from 1 species